AUUGAACGCUGGCGGCAUGCCUUACACAUGCAAAUCGAACGGUAACGGGCCUUCGGGUGCCGACGAGUGGCGCACGGGUGCGUAAUACAUCGGAACGUGCCCGAUCGUGGGGGAUAACGAGGCGAAAGCUUUGCUAAUACCGCAUACGAUCUACGGAUGAAAGCAGGGGACCGCAAGGCCUUGCGCGGGCGGAGCGGCCGAUGGCAGAUUAGGUAGUUGGGGGGAUAAAAGCUUACCAAGCCGACGAUCUGUAGCUGGUCUGAGAGGAUGAUCAGGCACACUGGGACCGAGACACGGCCCCGACUCCUAAGGGAGGCCACAGUUGGGAAUUUUGGGCCAUGGGCCGAAGCCUGAACCAGCCAAGCCGCGUGGCAGAUUAAGGCCUUUGGGUUGGAAAACUGUUUUUUUCGGGAACAAAAGCCUUCUUUUAAUACAGGAGGGUCAUGACGGUACCGUAAGAAUAAGCACCGGCUAACUACGUG
rnacentral:rRNA from 1 species